UAUAAGUCAAGAAAAUAUUAUCUAAAUCUGUAGUUUUCUAGUUUUCAUAUCGUCAAUGCCAAUGAUUCCAGUUUACUUCUACAUUUGUAUCAUUCUCAUGCAAGAUUUUUUGAUUGCAAGCUAUGAUGAUCUUUACAACAUUGCCAUAAAAUAUCUAGUUCUUCAAUCUAGGCUAUCAGAGGUGCUCGUAGUCAGUUAGCAAGCAUAUGCUGAUAAAUUUCAUAUGAAGUUGGAUUCAGUUCUGUAUUUUGUUCACCGUAUUCUUGUACGAUCAUGUAGCCUAGAAACACCCAUUUUGUAUGCUUAUUAGGAAGCUCUCGAUGAUCAGAACACAAUAGGGCUGACUUCAUUGAAAAAAAAUCCAUCUUUGAUAAACCAUUUGUUUGAGGUUCUUAGGCUGCUCGACUUUUGCUGGUAGGGACACGAUGUUGAAGAGGAUGUAGAUAGCGACGGAUACACUACUCAGGUUGUUAGCUUGAUUAGAGUUGCAGCGAGUAAAAGAUAGAGAGUUGAAGCUUGAGAAUCAUUGAUUUCUUCUUUGGCUAUUGUUUGUGAAUGGUGAAAGACCAAUUCUUUAGGAGUUUUUUGGGUUGGUUUUGGCUUUGCUGUUAAGGGAGCUGACGAAACCCCCGUAUUUGGAGCUCCGGCAAGGCUUCGCCGUAGAAGAUUCCCAAUCUAUAGUCGACGGCGGAUUUCUAUAUUUGUUGAAGAUCUAAUAUGAAUAAAAAUCACAACUUGGAGAAUAUGGUUUGUGAUUUUUGUGUUUGUCUGAUUUUGCUGCUUAGAUUGAUUUUUGGGAUUCUUCUCGGCCGGGGCGGAUGAGAUCCUCUGUCCGUCGGUGUCCCACCGUAUCCCACUCUUAAUUCACGUAUCAAUUUUCUUUUACAUGACAUCGAAACUUGUAAUGUUUUUCUUUCACUAUCGGCAGAACGACGUCGUGCCCAAAAAUUGGUGUGCUGAAAUUUGUAAUUUACAAUUUAUUGAACAUCGAAACUUUUUCUUGAAAUUAACAUUCAAAGAUUGGGACAUACAAA